GCUCGUUAUAGUGUGACCGGCUGUUGGGCCGUGGGGACGCGCCGCUCUACCUGCAGCCCUGCAGGCUGGGGGUGCUGUGUCCCUGAGGCAGUGGUCUGGUUCUGGUGCUGGUCCCCUUCAUGGUUUUCUUUUUCUUUGGAGUGUGAGUGCAGUGUCAGUGUUUUUAUUUAGCGGAUUUCUACUUUUGGUUUGUCCCGGCCACCUGCGUGAUGUCUCAUAAACACUGCCAGCAGCAGAUUUCCAGCGAGGCGACAACAGGACGUGUCUCCAAGCACUGGCUCGACUAACAAAUUGACUCUUUGUUUUAUUGGUC